ACUCCUACGGGAGGCAUCAGUGGGAAUAUUGCACAAUGGGCGCAAGCCUGAUGCAGCCAUGCCGCGUGUAUGAAGAAGGCCUUCGGGUUGUAAAGUACUUUCAGUCAGAUGAGGAAGGUUGGGUAUGUUAAUAGCAUGACUUCAUUUGACGUUAGCUUGCAGAAGAAGCACCGGCUAACUCCGUGCCAGCAGCCGCGGUAAUACGGAGGGUGCGAGCGUUAAUCGGAAUUACUGGGCGUAAAGCGCAUGCAGGUGGUUUGUUAAGUCAGAUGUGAAAGCCC
rnacentral:rRNA from 1 species